rnacentral:rRNA from 1 species
CGGACGGGUGAGUAACGCGUGGGUAACCUGCCUCACACUGGGGGAUAACAGUUAGAAAUGGCUGCUAAUACCGCAUAAGACCACAGUACUGCAUGGUACAGUGGUAAAAACUCCGGUGGUAUGAGAUGGACCCGCGUCUGAUUAGGUAGUUGGUGAGGUAACGGCCCACCAAGCCGACGAUCAGUAGCCGACCUGAGAGGGUGACCGGCCACAUUGGGACUGAGACACGGCCCAG